AGUCUUAUAUUCAAUUAUGAUGUUAGAUUGCAAAUUUAAUGGUGAAUUUUUUUUCUAAGGCUU
rnacentral:tRNA from 1 species